rnacentral:ncRNA from 1 species
AUAAUGAUACUUCCGUCCAGCCACAGCCAGACGCAAUGGGGGCGGCUUCAUGAGAACCAUGUUGAGGUGAAAGACCUAUGA